UGAAUGGCAUCACGAGGGCUUAACUGUCUCCCCUCCCCAGUCAAUGAAAUUGAUCUCCCCGUGCAGAAGCGGGGAUAAUACCAUAAGACGAGAAGACCCUAUGGAGCUUUAGACGUCAGAGCAGCCCAUGUAAAGCACCCCUUAACAAAGGAAAAAACCAAAUGAAGCCUGCCCUAAUGUCUUUGGUUGGGGCGACCGCGGGGAAAUACAAAACCCCCAUGUGGAGUAGGAAUACACAUUCCUAAACCCAAGAGCUCCCGCUCUAAUGAACAGAAAUUCUGACCAAUAAGAUCCGGCACACGCCGAUCAACGGACCGAGUUACCCUAGGGAUAACAGCGCAAUCCCCUUAAAGAGCCCUUAUCGACAAGGGGGUUUACGACCUCGAUGUUGGAUCAGGACAUCCUAAUGGUGCAGCCGCUAUUAAGGGUUCGUUUGUUCAACGAUUAAAGU
rnacentral:rRNA from 1 species